rnacentral:rRNA from 1 species
AUUGAACGCUGGCGGCAGGCCUAACACAUGCAAGUCGAGCGGAGCGGCGGACGGGUGAGUAAUGCCUAGGAAACUGCCAGGUAGUGGAGGAUAACGUCCGGAAACGGGCGCUAAUACCGCAUACUAUCAGAUAAGCCUAGGUCGGAUUGGCUAGUUGGUGGGGUAAAGGCCUACCAAGGCGACGCUCCGUAACUGGUGUGGGAGGAUGAUCAGGCACACGGGAACGGAGACACGGUCCAGACUCCUAAGGGAGGCAGCAGUGGGGAAUAGUGGACAAUGGGCGAAAGCCUUAUCGAGCCAUGCCGCGUGUGUUAAGAAGGUCUUCGGAUUGUAAAGCACUUUAAGUUGGGAGGCGUUACCAACAGAAUAAGCACCGGCUAACUUCGUGCCAGCAGCCGCGGUAAUUC